rnacentral:rRNA from 1 species
AGUCUGACCUGCCCAAUGAUAUGUAAAUAUUAAAUGGCCGCGAUAAUUUGAUCGUGCAAAGGUAGCAUAAUAAUUAGUUUCUUAAUUGGGAACUGGAAUGAAAGGUCGAACGAGAAAAUGACUGUCUCAAUUUAAUUUAAAUUAGAAUUUUAUUUUUAAGUUAAAAAGCUUAAAUGAUUUUAAAAGACGAGAAGACCCUAUAGAGUUUUAUAUAUAUUUAUUUAUUUUUUAGUUUAAGAAUUUAAUUUUAAAAUUGAUAAUAAAAUAUUUAAUUGGGGUGAUUGAAAAAUUAAAUAAACUUUUUUUAUAAUUUAACAUUAAUUUAUGAUUAGUUGAUCCAUAUAUAAUGAUUAAAAGAUUAAAUUACCUUAGGGAUAACAGCGUAAUUUUUUUUGAGAGUUCAUAUCGAAAAAAUAGAUUGCGACCUCGAUGUUGGAUUAAAAUUAAUUUAUGGUGUAGAAGCUAUAUAUAUUA